ensembl:ncRNA C45B2.10 ncRNA
UGAUAUACAUUUUUCCUCUCCAGGCUUAGAAAGAUUAUUUCCUAAACCUAGAAAUAAAAAAUGUGGUACACGUUUUUAUUGUUUUUAACUUAAAAAAAUACUCUAAAACUAAGGGCAUGUAAUACACAAGUACCAAAAAUUCUACUCACA